UACGUAGGGUGCAAGCGUUAAUCGGAAUUACUGGGCGUAAAGCGUGCGUAGGCGGCUAUGCAAGACAGAUGUGAAAUCCCUGGGCUUAACCUAGGAACUGCAUUUGUGACUGCAUUGCUAGAGUGUGGUAGAGGGAGAUGGAAUUCCGCAUGUAGCAGUGAAAUGCGUAGAUAUGCGGAGGAACACCAAUGGCGAAGGCAGCCCCCUGGGAUAACACUGACGCUCAUGCACGAAAGCGUGGGGAGCAAACAGG
rnacentral:rRNA from 1 species